CUGACUGGAAUUCCAGUACCCUCCCUGCUAAAUACAACCACAAAAGGUCCCCAGAAAGGCUUGGGAAAGCAGCUGGCCUGCUAUGUGACAACAGCAUGCAGGAGCUGGGAAUCAGCCAAAGAGUAAGAGUACCAGCUGAAGGAUUUAAAUAAGGACUCAGCUCUGAGGCUCAGAGAGGGCCAGAGGUGUGUUUUGGAGACAGGCUGCAGGGGCUCUUCCCUUGUCUCUCUCCUGAGAACUGAAGUGGGAAUGCCUGACCCAUGGAAAACGGCUUACCACCCUGUCAAAAAAUCCCUCUGAAGUCUGAGACAACAGAGACGGGCCCUGAAAGCAGAUCUGGCUUCCAGCUAUCCAUCAUCAUCCAAGUCAGAGUUGUUUGCUCCCCUGGAAAGGAUCCCCAGAACAUGCUGAGGAUAAGCUUCAACUGCAUUCAACAUUUUGCCGUGAGAGGCAAUUUGCUCUGCAAGCAAGGAAGAAUGUUUUAUUGUUCUGGCACUUUGUCUCUUUGGAUAUGGUUUAGAAAUCAAAUAAUAUGUUGAAAACAUGCUUCAACAGAAAUGAAGCCCAAAAAUCCUCAUUUUUGUUUAUUUUAUUCAGUUAUUCUGAGACUUCUAUCAGAGCUAACACCUCAUAGCUUUAAUGGAAGUCCUUCAAUAAUAAUGGAGAUAGACAAACAGUAUCCAGGAUUGUCACUACAGGUCAGAGCUUGUUGUAGCUCUACUGAUUCUUUGGAAGACUUUAAUUCUUUUAACUCUUUCUGUCCUUUGAAAAGACAAAACACUCUUUCGGAUUUUUAUGCAAAAAGUUAAGACCAAUGAAAAUCAGAAACUGGCUCAGUAGAUACAAGUAGUUAUGAAGGCAGCUUACCUCCAAAAAUUUUGCCUGUAUUU